rnacentral:lncRNA from 1 species
AGGUCUCUAAACGUUACAGAGAACCCUGAACAACCCAAACUGUUAAUCUUCGAUACCGCUUUAUACUUACAAUCUUGUAUCCACUGACUGUCUUGUUAGAUUAACCCAAUAAAUUUCAUUCACUUCGCAUACUCAAUCCUAUAGACACCCUUUUAAUUCUUCAAUCACAGACGUAACUCAAUUUUACAAAAUAGUCAAGAGUAAUCAAACCCACUUCAUUAAAAAUCCCGAUUCACCAUUACAACACUGACUUCAGCAAUGAUUGCCUCAGUCUUUCCAAAACCCUAUGAAGAAAAAAAAAAAAAAAAAAAAAAAAUCCCAAUUCUCUAUCUUCUUUCCCCGCCCCGAAUCAUGAAGCUAACUCUCUCCCCAAUCU